UGCCCAGCAACUCCUAUCCCUACCUCCGCGUGGCACCGGUCACGAGCAACAUUAUGGAAGAUCGGGUAACCAACCACGGUGGGAACUUUGGUCAUAGGCUGACUGGGUAGG
rnacentral:ribozyme from 1 species